ensembl:lncRNA
UGAUUUCCCUGACCGGGAAUUGAACCCGGGCCGCAGCGGUGAGAGCGCCGAAUCCUAGCCACUAGACCAUCAGUGACACAAUUAUGCAAAUGAAGUCUUAGUUUAAGUCGAAAACUUUAAAAACAUCUGUAGUUUGGCUUGAAUCAAAAGUUGGAUCUGGAAUUCCAAACUCUAAAUCUCAUUUCCGUGACCGGGAAUUUAACCCGGGCCGCGGCGGUGAAAGCGCCAAAUCCUAGCCACUAGACCAUCAGGGACAUGAUUAUGCUAAUGAAGUCUUAGUUUAAGUCGAAAACUUUAAAAACAUCUGCAGUUUGGCUUGAAUUAAAAGUUGGAUCUGGAAUUCUAAACUCUAAGUCUCAUUUCCCUGACCGGGAAUUGAACCCGGGCCGCGGCGGUGAAAGCGCCAAAUCCUAGCCACUAGACCAUCAGGGACACAAUUAUGCAAAUGGAGUCAUAGUUUAAGUCGAAUACUUUAAAAACAUCUGCAGUUUGGCUUGAAUUAAAAGUUGGAUCUGGAAUUCCAAACUCUAAAUCUCAUUUCCGUGAUCGGGAAUUUAACCCGGGCCGCGGCGGUGAGAGCGCCGAAUCCUAGCCACUAGAUCAUCAGGGACAGAAUUAUGCAAAUGAAGUCAUAGUUCAUGUCGAAUGCUUUAAAAACAUCUGUAGUUUGGCUUGAAUUAAAAUUUAGAGUUUCAAUUCCCCGACUAGGAAUUUAACACUUUAUAUCUGAUUUCACUGACCGGGAAUUGAACCCGGGCCGCGGCGGUGAGAGCGCCGAAUCCUAGCCACUAGACCAUCAGGGACACAAUUAUGCUAAUGAAGUCAUAGUUUAAGUCGAAUACUUUAAAAACAUCUGCAGUUUGGCUUGAAUUAAAAGUUGGAUCUGGAAUUCCAAACUCUAAAUCUCAUUUCCGUGAUCGGGAAUUUAACCCGGGCCGCGGCGGUGAGAGCGCCGAAUCCUAGCCACUAGACCAUCAGGGACAUGAUUAUGCUAAUGAAGUAUUAAUUUAAGUCGAAAACUUUAAAAACAUCUGCAGUUUGGCUUGAAUUAAAAGUUAAAGCUUGAAUUCCCUGACCAGGAAUUUAACACUUUAUAUAUGAUUUCCCUGACCGGGAAUUGAACCCGGGCCGCAGCGGUGAGAGCGCCGAAUCCUAGCCACUAGACCAUCAGUGACACAAUUAUGCAAAUGAAGUCUUAGUUUAAGUCGAAAACUUUAAAAACAUCUGUAGUUUGGCUUGAAUCAAAAGUUGGAUCUGGAAUUCCAAACUCUAAAUCUCAUUUCCGUGACCGGGAAUUUAACCCGGGCCGCGGCGGUGAAAGCGCCAAAUCCUAGCCACUAGACCAUCAGGGACACAAUUAUGCAAAUGAAGUCAUAGUUUAAGUCGAAAACUUUAAAAACAUCUGCAGUUUGGCUUGAAUUAAAAUUUAGAGCUUGAAUUCCCUGACCAGGAAUUUAACACUUUAUAUCUGAUUUCCCUGACCGGGAAUUGAACCCGGGCCGCGGCGGUGAAAGCGCCAAAUCCUAGCCCCUAGACCAUCAGGGACAUGACUAUGCUAAUGAAGUCUUAGUUUAAGUCGAAAACUUUAAAAACAUCUGCAGUUUGGCUUGAAUUAAAAGUUGGAUCUGGAAUCUCAAACUCUAAAUCUCAUUUCCCUGACCGGGAAUUGAACUCGGGCCGCGGCGGUGAAAGCGCCAAAUCCUAGCCACUAGACCAUCAGGGACACAAUUAUGCAAAUGGAGUCAUAGUUUAAGUCGAAUGCUUUAAAAACAUCUGUAGUUUGGCUUGAAUUAAAAUUUAGAGCUUCAAUUCCCCGACUCGGAAUUUAACACUUUAUAUCUGAUUUCCCUGACCGGGAAUUGAACCCGGGCCGCGGCGGUGAAAGCGCCAAAUCCUAGCCACUAGACCAUCAGGGACAUGACUAUGCUAAUGAAGUCUUAGUUUAAGUCGAAUACUUUAAAAACAUCUGCAGUUUGGCUUGAAUUAAAAGUUAAAGCUUGAAUUCCCUGACCAGGAAU